rnacentral:lncRNA from 1 species
GUUCAGGCACAUGAGUCUCUGCGGCACCUAAGUCUCUCUAAGAGACUCAGUCUAAUACACUAUAAAUCCAUCACAUUACAGAGGCUUCUAUCCUCAGAUUUCCCUUACAACGGGGCUGAGUAGGAGUGAACGGUGUCUAGACAGUGAUGAGCUCGAACUUGAACCUCCGAUGCGUUGCCUGAGCCACAUUUUCAUAUGUAAAGUUGGAUAACAAGAUGCUGCUCUAAAGAUCUGGGGAGCUGAUACCGGUGGGAAGCAUCACAAAUACCUGGGAACCCUCAUGUCAUUCCUAUCCCCUCUUCCCUCUGGCAAUGUUGGAUUUCAAAUCACAUCCUCUUACCUCCCACACCCACAAGGGCAAGACUUGACUGUGAGUCAAACAUGUAGUCAAAACACAUAAAAUUUAAAAAGAAAUUUUGCUGCUGAGUUUUGGACAUGGCAGUUUCUUAUAAUGUAUUUCCAGUAACAGGAUCAAUGGAUCACUUGGCACCAGCUACAAUUUCACCCUCACAACAUCUUGGUGUGAUAGCAACCACCAUUCCCACUGUAUGGAUGUGAAAAAAGGAACUUCAUCUUAGCUAAUUGGCCAAUAAGUGAACCAGUAUCUGAACAUUAUACUCUGACUUCAGAGUCCAUGCUCUUAACUACUGUGUUCAAUGCUUACCUCCUCUCACCCUGACUCUUGAUCCCUGAUUUCUUCUAGCCAAUACAAUCCCAUCACCCAGAGAUGCUCUGACAAUGGCUCCCUAUGCACUUUGUUAAAGCAACAGUAGCUCUCCAUAGCAGCCUUUUCCAGCCAUGCUCAACGCUUCACACAAAGUCUUCCUCCAAAUUGCCUGUUGCUCGAUUCCCUGAGCCUAUCUUUAACCCUGAGACCUAGUCAUCCACAAGACAGCCAUAAGACAUAAGAUGUUGAAGAUGUCUUGGUCUUGAAUUAUAAGCAGGGUUCAGAAUGGAGCCUGGGCCAUAAGUAUAAAAAAAGGUACACAGCAUCCUGGCCAUGCUUGUUUAUGUAAAAUUUGUUUUGAAUAAGUACCCAAACUCCCCACUGGGAAAGUCUUUGGAGCUGAACUUGGAUCUUCUUUUCCUUUUGAGACUAGGAGAAGAGUGACAACUAGUCUGGAGGCCAUGAGAUGUUUCAGUGGAUAACAGUGCUUGCUGUGGAAGCUGAAUGACAUGAAUUAGUGCCCCAGUAUCCAUGUAAAAAGUCAAAUUCAGCAGCAUGCAUCUGUAAUCCCAAGAUUCUUGCAGCAGGAUAAGAAGCCAAGACAAGUAAAUCGUGUGGAAGCUUGUGAAACAGCUAGCCUAAUUACAACAUCAUGGAAACAAGAUACCCUGCAUCAACAAGUCGAGAGGAAAGAACUGACUCCCGAAAUUAGCCAUCUGAUGUCCACAUGUGCACCGUGGCUCACACAUGGCUAUACUCACAUACUCAAGAUCUCUCUCUCUCUCUCUCUCUCUCUCUCUCUCUCUCUGUCUGUCUCUCUCAGAAGCUAUCCUACAGAUUCUCUGCGACCAGGUGUCAGCUUGUCCCAUCACUACAGCCAUAGUGUUCCUGUGGAAACCCAGACCUCGAUAGUGAUACUCAGCUUGUUCCUAACCUAUGUACAAUAUGCUCCAUAUCACAAGUGUUGGUUGUGGUCUGGCUCUCUUUUCCUCUUUAUCGUAUCCUCUAAUUUCUGGGAUUUGUGUGAGAGUUUUGAACAGGAAUCAAUCACCAUUUAGCACAAGACUAGAGAGUAAACACUGUGGUCUUACAGACACACAGUAUCUGGGACAACUACUCAGCUCCUACAUAAGACCCCCACACCCUGGAAAUCUCCACCCUAGAAAACAAGAAACCCUAUGUAAAGCCUGCCUCCUGCUCAAGUCCCUGCUGCUUCAUGCCCAAGCACCCAUAUAACCCUGGAGGAGUACAAGGUUGACGCCAGUAGAACCUAGCUUGACUGGAGGUUUCAAAGAUCACCUGAGCCCUGAUAUCUGCUUGAUGAGGGAACAGUACAAAGGAAGUUAGCAUGAGAAGCAAAGAGAUCACGAGUCUCAAAAAUGUGACUGACCACAUGACUAGAGGGGCAAGACAGAGUUACAGAAUGACUGAUGACCGCCUCUGUUGCUGCCCAAUCCUCCUCCCUAUAGACUGGCUGGACAUGAGAUGGAAUUAGAUCUCUAGGAUAUGAAUCCACUGUCAUCUCUGCCUGU